GGAGGGUAGAUCCUAUAAAAACCUACAGGAAUGUAGGAACAGGGUUACAGAGCCCUGAUCCAGAAUGUCAGGAUUCGGGUACGUUUCUGCUUGGUUAGAACUAAAGCCAGCACCCACACACUAACCCUGGAAUGAUAAGAGAGGGUAGCAUUAUAUUUCUAUGAGACCAAUUGGAGAGGGUAGCUAGAGACAGCUGGGCCAGUUCAAGCCCUCUACAGCUGGAGAGGGUAGCUAGAGACAGCUGGCCCAGUUCAAGGCCUCUACAGCUGGAGAGGGUAGCUAGAGGCAGCUGGCCCAGUUCAAGGCCUCUACAGCUGGGCCAGUUCAAGCCCUCUACAGCUGGGCCAGUUCAAGGCCUCUACAGCUGGCCCAGUUCAAGCCCUCUACAGCUGGAGAGGGUAGCUAGAGGCAGCUGGCCCAGUUCAAGGCCUCUACAGCUGGGCCAGUUCAAGCCCUCUACAGCUGGGCCAGUUCAAGGCCUCUACAGCUGGCCCAGUUCAAGCCCUCUACAGCUGGAGAGGGUAGCUAGAGGCAGCUGGCCCAGUUCAAGGCCUCUACAGCUGGAGAGGGUAGCUAGAGACAGCUGGCCCAGUUCAAGCCCUCUAUAGCUGGAGAGGGUAGCUAGAGACAGCUGGGCCAGUUCAAGCCCUCUACAGCUGGAGAGGGUAGCUAGAGGCAGCUGGCCCAGUUCAAGGCCUCUACAGCUGGAGAGGGUAGCUAGAGACAGCUGGCCCAGUUCAAGCCCUCUACAGCCGAAGAGGUUUAUACCCUUACACCAUGUUAUUACAAGUGAUCCCAUGACCACCCAGAACACCUACCUUACUGUUUAGUUAUUUUGUCUGAUUGUGGGCGUUACUGACUGGGCCUGGGCCCGUAUUCAUGAAGCUUCUCAGUGUAGGGCUCUGGGCUGAUCUAGGAUCAGGUCUUCAAUAUCCACAGCUCUGGGCUGAUCUAGGAUCAGGGUUUCAUUAUCCACAGCUCUAUGCUGAUCUAGGAUCAGGGUUUCAUUAUCCACAGCUCUAUGCUGAUCUAGGAUCAGGGUUUCAUUAUCCACAGCUCUAUGCUGAUCUAGGAUGUGGUGUUAAAUACUUAAGUAGAACUUUAAAGUUUUUUUUACUUAAGUUGUUUUUUGGGGUAUCUGUACGUUAUAUUUAUGACAACUUUUACUUCACUAUAUUCCUAAAUAAAAUGAUGUACUUUUUACUCCAUACAUUUUUCCUGAAACCCAAAAGUAC
ensembl:lncRNA